CGGCGUCGCAAGACAGUGAAGAAAUGUGUGAAAGUGUUUGAGCCAUCAUGGGCUGUACUUCCCUCACUAACUCCAUUUUAUAGCUCAACCUUGAUUUGCUUCCUCCUGUCACAGAAACUUGACUGUCUGACAAAGAGCAGCAUGGAAUGAACACCAACAAUAACUAGGUCACCUCGAGUCCUGUUGAAGAGUGGCCCGCUCGCAAUGGAGCUGGAUGGAGCGCUUCCUCGACGGAGUCUGGGUUCCAGCUCUGGGCUGCGCUACGGUUCGUUUGUCAACAGUCUUUCUUCACUCACUCUCAAACCAGAUGAGAGGGCUUCCGUAUCGCAUCGACGGGCCUACGUGGCGGUGGUUGUGCUCUGCUACAUCAAUUUACUCAACUACAUGGAACGUUACACAAUAGCAGGUGUCCUGCUAAACAUUCAGAGCUUCUUCAACAUCAAUGACAGUACAGCUGGUCUUCUGCAGACAGUUUUUAUCUGCAGCUUUCUCAUGACGGCUCCACUCUUCGGUUACCUCGGCGACCGCUACAACCGGAUUUACAUCAUGGCUGGUGGUUUGAGUGUGUGGCUUGUAACUGCAACAGCCAGUUCUUUCGUGACUGAGUCAUACUUUUGGCUGCUGGCGCUUUUACGAGGCCUCGUCGGGAUCGGUGAGGCGAGCUACUCCACUAUUGCUCCCACCAUCAUCGGGGACCUUUUCACUGGCGUACAACGAACCAUCAUGAUCUCCGCUUUCUACAUCUUCAUCCCUGUUGGAAGUGGUCUUGGCUACAUAUCGGGGUCAUCGAUAGCCAGCCUCACUGGAGACUGGCACUGGUCUCUCAGGAUCACUCCCAUUUUUGGUCUUGCUGGGCUCAUUGCACUGGUGCUCUUGUGCCCAAACCCUCCAAGAGGUGCUGCAGAAAACAACGGUCAUGAAGUUCAAGAGCGCAGCUCUUACCUGGAGGACGUCAAGUAUCUUCUAAACAAUAAAAGUUACGUGUGGUCAACUCUGGGUGUCACGGCAAUGGCCUUCCUAACUGGAGCCCUGGCUUUCUGGAUGCCCACCUUUCUGUUCAGAGCUCGGGUGUCUCAGGGACUUAGCCAGCCUUGCUCUAAAGCGCCAUGCAGCUCCACAGACAGUUACAUCUUCGGCGCUGUCACGGUGGUCUCAGGCAUUGUCGGAGUGUGUCUCGGCACGGGUCUGUCCAGGUGCUUGAAGGAUAAAGUGCCCAAUGCAGAUCCACUCAUCUGUGCAGGGGGCAUGCUAGGAUCUGUCCCCUGCCUCUUUAUCAGCAUCUUCGUCGCUGCGGUAAACAUUCCAGCCACUUACGUCUUUACCUUCACAGCUGAAGUGUUGUUGUCACUCAACUGGUCUCUCCUGGCUGAUAUACUCCUGUAUGUUGUUGUGCCGACCAGACGAGCCACAGCAGAGGCUCUCCAGAUUACAUUCUGCCACCUUCUAGGCGAUGCCGGGAGUCCGUACCUCAUCGGAACGAUUUCUGACGCCAUUAGCAGAUCCAAGCAGUCAUCCAUCGACUGGAGCUUCCCCAGUUUGCAGUACAGCUUCCUGCUGUGCCCUUUUGUUGGCAUACUUGGAGGAAUGUUCUUCCUAAUGGCAGCUCUUUACAUCAAUAAUGACAGAAAGGCAGCGCUGCAAAUGCCUGAAGUGUUUUAGUGAUAUUAAAUAGUACCUGAAGUCGGAGGAGUGUGGCCACGGGUGUCUUGACGCCAGACUCUCUGAGGGAAGUCACGCAGCUGUAUGGACGGCGCAAGCUCCACUGAUCUCCGGCGAUCCUCCCCAGCAAGGUCCUGCAACGCAUUACUCUGUGGAGCUCAACAACGCACAAAAUACACCGAAUUCAUAAAAUAUGUAUUAACAUAAGGCGUUGCUUUCCGCCCGAAUGCAGCUGCGAUAGGCUCCAGCAGCCCCCGCGACCCCGAAAGAGACAAGCGGUAGAAAAUGAUUGGAUGGAUGGCAUUUACUAAAUAUGUAACACUGAACCAAAGCCGCUGUGUGUAUGAAAAAUGGUUUCAUUUAAAGAACAAAACUAUUAGUCUGGUUAUGGAUUAUGGUUGCUAAGAAGAAGAAGUUUUUUGCACACACACACACACACACACUGGUUAUCAUUUGGAAUGGAGACCAAGUUUUUGAUCAUCACUUUUGAGGACCACCCUUUCUACAGGUUGUGGAGGCAUGAAAAUAAAAAAAUGAGGUAAACUGGC